rnacentral:ncRNA from 17 species
GUCGUUCAUCCCAUAUGGGACGCAAGUAAGCCGACUCGGAACGGAUCGUUCAUUCGCUAUUCGCAAAUAGCGAACGCAAAAGCCGACUGAAGGAACGGGAC